rnacentral:misc_RNA from 1 species
CGUUCAAUUAAAUUAGAUAUGAAAAGCACUCGAUGUGCGGAGAGCGAUGUUUUUCUGCUGUAAUAUUAAAGAGAAUUUUCACACCUCGCACAAUUAUAUCAAAACUAUAAUUCUGAUCCGCUCAACCUAUUCCGCCGUUUACCCGACAUCGUUUAAUAACGUAACUAACUUCGGCACACGUGUGAAAUAAUUCAAAUAAAAUGACAACUGGCGUGAAAAAUUAUCCGCAUGCGUCUUUCUAACGAGGGCAGCAGAGUCGGUAUGACGAAGUCGAGUCUCCUGUUUACCUCGAUCCCUGCAGUGCAAUUGCGAAGUGAAUUCGCGAGCGUAUAUUAUUUAUCAUUUUUAUAUUAUCUACGCGUUAAAUAUGGAAAUAGAAUUGGUGAAGACGAGAAGAGAG